AGCGAACGCUGGCGGCAGGCCUAACACAUGCAAGUCGAGCGCCCAGCAAUGGGAGCGGCAGACGGGUGAGUAACGCGUGGGGAUGUACCCAAUGGUACGGAAUAACCCAGGGAAACUUGGAUUAAUACCGUAUGUGCCUUCGGGGGAAAGAUUUAUCGCCAUUGGAUCAACCCGCGUCGGAUUAGCUAGUUGGUGAGGUAAAGGCUCACCAAGGCGACGAUCCGUAGCUGGUCUGAGAGGAUGAUCAGCCACAUUGGGACUGAGACACGGCCCAAACUCCUACGGGAGGCAGCAGUGGGGAAUAUUGGACAAUGGGCGCAAGCCUGAUCCAGCCAUGCCGCGUGAGUGAUGAAGGCCUUAGGGUUGUAAAGCUCUUUCACCGGGGAAGAUAAUGACGGUACCCGGAGAAGAAGCCCCGGCUAACUUCGUG
rnacentral:rRNA from 2 species